AUUGAACGCUGGCGGCAGGCCUAACACAUGCAAGUCGAACGAGUGGCGGACGGGUGAGUCAUGUCUGGGAAACUGCCCGAUGGAGGGGGAUAACUACUGGAAACGGUAGCUAAUACCGCAUACCAUCGGAUGUGCCCAGAUGGGAGGAGCUAGUAGGUGGGGUAACGGCUAACCGAGGCGACGAUCCCUAGCUGGUCUGAGAGGAUGACCAGCCAAACUGGAACUGAGCCACGGUCCAGAGUCGUACGUGAGGCAGCAGUGGGGAAUAUUGCACAAUGGGCGCAAUCCGGAUGCAGCCAUGCCGCGUGUAUGAAGAAGGCCUUCGGGUUGGAAAGUACUUUCAGCGAGGAGGCGUUACUCGCAGAAGAAGCACCGGCUAACUCCGUGCCAGCAGCCGCGGUAAUUC
rnacentral:rRNA from 1 species